UACGAAGGGGGCUAGCGUUGCUCGGAAUUACUGGGCGUAAAGGGCGCGUAGGCGGCUAGUUUAGUCAGAGGUGAAAGCCCAGGGCUCAACCUUGGAAUUGCCUUUGAUACUGUCUGUCUUGAGUUCGGGAGAGGUGAGUGGAAUGCCGAGUGUAGAGGUGAAAUUCGUAGAUAUUCGGCGGAACACCAGUGGCGAAGGCGACUCACUGGCCCGAUACUGACGCUGAGGCGCGAAAGCGUGGGGAGCAAACAGG
rnacentral:rRNA from 1 species